CCUUGUUUGGGUGUUUUUCGGUGAAAAUAUCUUUGUUUGCUUUCUUGUUUGGUGGAGGUUUCUGUGAUUUUGGGCCUUUUUUUUUUUUUUUCGUUAAGUGCAGCAGGGGCCAUUUAAGCUAGGUCAAUUAUGUAUAUUGUACAGUGAUAUGGAGAAGCUGGAAUUCAGUGGUCCCCUCCUUCUCCUUACUCCGUGCCUUUCCUCUUUUCUUAUGGUCCGCUAGGGUUUAAGGUUUAAUACACUGGCUAUUGAUACAACUGCG
rnacentral:misc_RNA from 1 species